CUUAGUGGCAGAAACUGCAGGCUUGAUGGUGGAAGUUGUGGUCUUGGAUGUUACCAUGGAUCUAGUAGGUGUCGAAGGUCUUGAUGAUUUUAAAGAUGUGGUUAAUGUAGGUGUCAAAGGUCUUGAUGAUUUUGAAGAUGUGGUUAAUGUAGGUGUCGAAGAUCUUGAUGAUUUAGAAGAAGUGGUUAAUGUAGGACGCCCAGUAGGUGUUGCAGGUCGUGAUCCUGGACCCCCUGAUGAUGAAGGCCUCCUAGUCCCACCACUUGAAGAGCUCAACCCAG
rnacentral:lncRNA from 1 species